rnacentral:rRNA from 1 species
GAUGAACGCUGGCGGCGUGCCUAAUACAUGCAAGUCGAGCGAACAGACGAGGAGCUUGCUCCUCUGACGUUAGCGGCGGACGGGUGAGUAACACGUGGAUAACCUACCUAUAAGACUGGGAUAACUUCGGGAAACCGGAGCUAAUACCGGAUAAUAUAUUGAACCGCAUGGUUCAAUAGUGAAAGACGGUUUUGCUGUCACUUAUAGAUGGAUCCGCGCCGCAUUAGCUAGUUGGUAAGGUAACGGCUUACCAAGGCAACGAUUCGUAGCCGACCUGAGAGGGUGAUCGGCCACACUGGAACUGAGACAAGGUCCAGACUCCUACGGGAGGCAGCAGUAGGGAAUCUUCCGCAAUGGGCGAAAGCCUGACGGAGCAACGCCGCGUGAGUGAUGAAGGUCUUCGGAUCGUAAAACUCUGUUAUUAGGGAAGAACAACUGUGUAAGUAACUAUGCACGUCUUGACGGUACCUAAUCAGAAAGCCACGGCUAACUACGUG